UUGAUGGGAGCUUGCUCCCUGAUAGUUAGCGGCGGACGGGUGAGUAACACGUGGGCAACCUACCUUUAAGACUGGGAUAACUUCGGGAAACCGGAGCUAAUACCGGAUAAUAUGUAAGACCACAUGGUCUUACAUUGAAAGAUGGCUUCGGCUAUCACUUAUAGAUGGGCCCGCGGCGCAUUAGCUAGUUGGUGAGGUAAUGGCUCACCAAGGCGACGAUGCGUAGCCGACCUGAGAGGGUGAUCGGCCACACUGGGACUGAGACACGGCCCAGACUCCUACGGGAGGCAGCAGUAGGGAAUCUUCCGCAAUGGACGAAAGUCUGACGGAGCAACGCCGCGUGAACGAUGAAGGCUUUCGGGUCGUAAAGUUCUGUUGUUAGGGAAGAACAAGUACCAGAGUAACUGCUGGUACCUUGACGGUACCUAACCAGAAAGCCACGGCUAACUACGUGCCAGCAGCCGCGGUAAUACGUAGGUGGCAAGCGUUAUCCGGAAUUAUUGGGCGUAAAGCGCUCGCAGGCGGUCUUUUAAGUCUGAUGUGAAAGCCCACGGCUCAACCGUGGAGGGUCAUUGGAAACUGGGAGACUUGAGUGCAGAAGAGGAGAGUGGAAUUCCACGUGUAGCGGUGAAAUGCGUAGAGAUGUGGAGGAACACCAGUGGCGAAGGCGACUCUCUGGUCUGUAACUGACGCUGAGGAGCGAAAGCGUGGGGAGCGAACAGGAUUAGAUACCCUGGUAGUCCACGCCGUAAA
rnacentral:rRNA from 1 species